UACGAAGGGGGCUAGCGUUGUUCGGAAUUACUGGGCGUAAAGCGCACGUAGGCGGGUUGUUAAGUCAGGGGUGAAAUCCCGGAGCUCAACUCCGGAACUGCCUUUGAUACUGGGGAUCUCGAGUCCGGAAGAGGUGAGUGGAACUCCGAGUGUAGAGGUGAAAAUUCGUAGAUAUUCGGAAGAACACCAGUGGCGAAGGCGGCUCACUGGUCCGGUACUGACGCUGAGGUGCGAAAGCGUGGGGAGCAAACAGGG
rnacentral:rRNA from 1 species